rnacentral:rRNA from 1 species
UACGGAGGGUGCAAGCGUUGUCCGGAAUUAUUGGGCGUAAAGAGCUCGUAGGCGGUUUGUUGCGUCGGCUGUGAAAUCCCGAGGCUCAACCUCGGGUCUGCAGUCGAUACGAGCAAACUAGAGUGUUGCAGGGGAGACUGGAAUUCCUGGUGUAGCGGUGAAAUGCGCAGAUAUCAGGAGGAACACCGGUGGCGAAGGCGGGUCUCUGGGCAACAACUGACGCUGAGGAGCGAAAGCGUGGGGAGCGAACAGG